GCGCGAAACCUUUACACUGCACGCAAGUGCGAUAAGGGGACCCCAAGUGCGAGGGCAUAUAGUCCUCGCUUUUCACGACUGUAAGGCGGUCGUGGAAUAAGAGCUGGGCAAGACCGGUGCCAGCCGCCGCGGUAAUACCGGCAGCUCAAGUGAUGACCGAUAUUAUUGGGCCUAAAGCGUCCGUAGCCGGCCACGAAGGUUCAUCGGGAAAUCCGCCAGCUCAACUGGCGGGCGUCCGGUGAAAACCACGUGGCUUGGGACCGGAAGGCUCGAGGGGUACGUCCGGGGUAGGAGUGAAAUCCCGUAAUCCUGGACGGACCACCGAUGGCGAAAGCACCUCGAGAAGACGGAUCCGACGGUGAGGGACGAAAGCUAGGGUCUCGAACCGGAUUAGAUACCCGGGUAGUCCUAGCUGUAAACGAUGCUCGCUAGGUGUGACACAGGCUACGAGCCUGUGUUGUGCCGUAGGGAAGCCGAG
rnacentral:rRNA from 1 species